rnacentral:rRNA from 1 species
UACGUAGGAUGCAAGCGUUGUCCGGAUUUAUUGGGCGUAAAGAGUUCGUAGGUGGUUUGUUAAGUCUGAUGUUAAAGACUGGGGCUCAACCUCGGAAAUGCAUUGGAUACUGACAGACUCGAGUGUGGUAGAGGCAAUCGGAAUUCCAGGUGUAGCGGUGAAAUGCGUAGAUAUCUGGAAGAACACCGGUGGCGCAAGCGGAUUGCUGGGCCAUAACUGACACUGAGGAACGAAAGCUAGGGUAGCGAAUGGG